CGUGGGUAACCUGCCCAAGAGAUCGGGAUAACACCUGGAAACAGAUGCUAAUACCGGAUAACAACAGAUGAUGCCUAUCAACUGUUUAAAAGAUGGUUCUGCUAUCACUCUUGGAUGGACCUGCGGUGCAUUAGCUAGUUGUAGGGUAACGGCCUACCAAGGCGAUGAUGCAUAGCCGAGUUGAGAGACUGAUCGGCCACAUUGGGACUGAGACACGGCCCAAACUCCUACGGGAGGCAGCAGCC
rnacentral:rRNA from 1 species